CUAACUCUAACCGUCUCCAUGUCUCCAUUAACUCCGCUUCUCCAUCCUCCACUCCUUCCCCGUGCAUCUUCACGUCUCUCAAUGCUCUCUAUCUUCAAGAAAUGUUAGGCCUCUCCCGACGGUUCGGAUUCAGUGCAAAGUGAGAAAGGGAGUGAGAGAGACACAAAUAUCUUCAUUCUUCUUAAUCGUGCGGCAUAUAACCCAACAACAAACAAAGUUAGCGAUCCCUUAGUGGCGACGGAGAUCUGGGUUUGGUCUGGGCAACAUGGAGUCGGGAGAGGACCAGAGGAUGAGUAGCAAAGGAGGGCAAAAUCAAGAAAAUCCUCAAGAUCCUGUUUAUGGCGUAUUAAAUUUACGGCUCGUGUCCUAGCAUGUCUAAUGAACUAACUGUUUUCUUUAAUUAGCAGUUAGUUUUACUAGGUAGUGACAAUGUCGACUCCUGCAAGGAAGAGGCUGGUGAGAGAUUUUAAGAGGCUACAACAAGAUCCACCUGCAAUAAUCAGCGGUGCACCUCAGGACAACUAUAUCAUGCUGGAAUGCUGUAAUAUUUGGUCAUGAUGAUGUUCCAUGGGACGGAGGGAAUCAUGGUAGUUGAACAUAGCAGGGAAGAUCGAGGCAGCUGUAAAGAAAAAGGAAGACGGGAUAUAAGAAGUAUAUUUCAAGGCUGAUAUGGCAGAGCAUCAAAGAGAUAUAAGAAGGUAUAUUUACGGGUGUCAUUGUGUAUUAGUAGUCAUACAUGUUUAUAUGUAUUAUAAUAAUUUCCUUUGGAAGAUAGACACAUAUUAUUGGAAAAAGAUGUUUCUCUUGCAAUCAUUUUUCUGUUACUUUCUUUUGACUGUAAUUUUCUCCA